UACAGAGGUCUCGAGCGUUAGGUGGAAUCACUGGGCUUAAAGGGUGCGUAGGCGGCCCGUUAAGUCAGUGGUGAAAGCCUCCAGCUCAACUGGAGAACUGCCAUUGAUACUGGCGGGCUUGAGUACAGACGAGGUUGGCGGAAUUGAUUGUGUAGCGGUGAAAUGCAUAGAUACAAUCAAGAACACCGAUUGCGUAGGCAGCUAACUAGGCUGUAACUGACGCUGAGGCACGAAAGCGUGGGGAGCGAACAGG
rnacentral:rRNA from 1 species